GGAUUGAACGCUGGCGGCAGGCCUAACACAUGCAAGUCGAGCGGCAGCACGGGUACUUGUACCUGGUGGCGAGCGGCGGACGGGUGAGUAAUGCCUAGGAAUCUGCCUGGUAGUGGGGGAUAACGCUCGGAAACGGACGCUAAUACCGCAUACGUCCUACGGGAGAAAGCAGGGGACCUUCGGGCCUUGCGCUAUCAGAUGAGCCUAGGUCGGAUUAGCUAGUUGGUGAGGUAAUGGCUCACCAAGGCGACGAUCCGUAACUGGUCUGAGAGGAUGAUCAGUCACACUGGAACUGAGACACGGUCCAGACUCCUACGGGAGGCAGCAGUGGGGAAUAGUACGGACAAGUGGGACGAAAGCCUGAUCCAGCCAUGCCGCGUGUGUGAAGAAGGUCUUCGGAUUAGUAAAGCUAUUUUAAGGUUGGAGGAAGGCAGUUAACCUAAUACGUAUCUUGUUUAGACGUUACCGACAAGAAUAAACGCACCGGACUAAC
rnacentral:rRNA from 1 species